rnacentral:rRNA from 1 species
UACGUAGGGCGCAAGCGUUAUCCGGAAUUAUUGGGCGUAAAGAGCUCGUAGGCGGUUUGUCGCGUCUGCUGUGAAAACUGGAGGCUCAACCUCCAGCCUGCAGUGGGUACGGGCAGACUAGAGUGCGGUAGGGGAGAUUGGAAUUCCUGGUGUAGCGGUGGAAUGCGCAGAUAUCAGGAGGAACACCAAUGGCGAAGGCAGAUCUCUGGGCCGUAACUGACGCUGGAGGAGCGAAAGCAUGGGGAGCGAACAGG